UUGUCUCUAAUAUUGUUUGCAUCUUUCUUCUGGUCAAUACUUAAGUUAUUUUGACUGAUUCAAUUUUCCUCUAUUAUCUAAAUCAUUCCUUAUAUCAAUUCAAUCAGUUUUGAACUAGAAACCUUUUCCUUGUUUCCAUCUUCUCACCAGAUUCACAACAGUUUUUAAGCUUUCUUUGAUUUUUUUUUUUUUUUUUUUUUUUUUUUUUUUUUUUUUUUUUUUUUUUUUUUUUUUUUUUUUUGCCCCUCUUUCUCUCUGUUUUUCGCUCGUCGUUUAUUUUCAUUUCGGAACUUUGAAAAAAAGAGGAUCGAAGAUGGUGGAAAGCAUUGUUACUGUUCUGUUAGAAGUAAAAAAAAAAAAAAAAAAAAAAAAAAAAAAAAAAAAAAAAAA
rnacentral:lncRNA from 1 species